UGCUCCCAAAAUCGUAAAACGUCCUCUGCCUCGCACCCUCUGCCCCUUGCCAUCGACCGCUACAAAAACCACUGAAAUCUCCUUAACAGUAAUAAUGAAGUCAUUAAAAGCUGCAAUCACCAGUCAGCCGCAUGCCUUUGCCACUCUCUAGUUCGCCGGCUCACCACGCCUUCGCCUAAUCGUAUUCGCAGUGACUUCGCGGCUUCAACUAAUGCCCUAAUCGUCCGUGUAAUCUAAAUUGCAAAGGUAUGCCAAAGUGCAAGAACUCACUCGAGUCUGCAAAUAAUUUGCUUUCUUCAAACCCGAUCAUUCUAGGUUGCAGUAAUUAGACAGGAUGGUGAAAAGUUCAUUCAAGCAACAACAUGAACUUGAGAAGAGGCGGAUUGAGGCUGGCCAGAUUAGGGAAAAAUAUUCGAAGAGAAUUCUGGUGAGAAUAUCAAGUUUCUGCCAUAAUUUUUGUAUUUGAAUGAUUGGUUUUAACCUAAAUUUCUUAUCUAUAACUUCUGCAUGUCUAAAUAUUUGAAUGAGGUUGAAAAUUUGCAGUUAACAAGAGAACUAAAUGAUGAAAUAACCACGGUUGUUGAUAGUGGAAUUGAAAGAAUAGAUAAUGAUUAAAUUGUACAGGUAUGCCAAGAUAAAAAAAGGUUCAUGGAUAUGAGUCGGCAAAUGUCUCAACAACAACAACAACUAUGAUAUUUUUUAGUGGAGGCAAAUAUGGGUCAACAAACAGCUGCGUGAUUCUACCUGUCCAUUGCCUCUUCUUCUACCUGUCGCACAUUAAUUAGUAAGCAAAAAAGAGAGCUGGUGAACAUGCAAAUACAGCCUAUAUGACAUUUAGAUCUUCUCAUGCUCUGGAAACAGUUGUGUUACUUAGUUGGACUUUACAAACAAUUUGUUUUCAAUGGCCGGUGGGAGAGCACUGGUGAGCAGUGGUGGUUUGCAUCCCUGAUUGACAGCUGCUGAUAGACACUAUGAUCUGGCCAGGGAACUAAUAUGUUUGUGCGGAAUCACUUGCAAGGAAUUAAUAUGUUUGUACGGAGUUUGUGUUUUUGCUAGGAUCACUUGUUAUAAAAAAAUACUAUUGAAUACUGUAGUGAUUGUUGUUAUAAAAAAUUACUAGCUAUUAAUUAACAUUAUUGAAUACUAUUGAAUGUUAUUAUUUGAA